UACGAAGGGGGCUAGCGUUGCUCGGAAUUACUGGGCGUAAAGGGCGCGUAGGCGGAUAUUUAAGUUAGAGGUGAAAGCCCUUGGCUUAACCGAGGAAGUGCAUCCGAAACUGGCGAGCUAGAGUACUAAAGAGGAUCGCGGAAUUCCCGGUGUAGAGGUGAAAUUCGUAGAUAUCGGGAGGAACACCGGUGGCGAAGGCGGCGAUCUGGGUAGAUACUGACGCUGAGGUGCGAAAGCGUGGGGAGCAAACAGG
rnacentral:rRNA from 1 species